rnacentral:lncRNA from 1 species
CCUAUUAUCCUGGUUUGCACUAGGCUAUUUUUAGUUUAGCAUUAUGACAUACACUGGAUACUUUUGUUCUCUCAUAGCACUCUAUGUAUAAACAUGCUGUCAUUUAGAUGCAAAGAGGAUGCUUGAGACUCACUGUUAGCUGGACAUGCCUUUUGAUCUGUCUUUCAAGCAAUGGGAUAGGUUGACCACAGCCAUCUCAGGUCAAUCUUUUGCACAGAAUGGAUCAUAAUCACUAUUAGGUUGUUGGUGAAAGAGAGGGGAAGGGUCUGUGGUCAUAAAAGAAUGAAUGAAUUAUGAACCUCUUACUUAUAUGCAAAGCACUGGGAUUACAAAAAGAAAAUUAAGAUGAUCCCUGCUCUCAAGGAACUUAUAUUCUAAUGGGAACAGAGAGAGAAAAGACAGCAAAUAUAGAAGGUUUCAACUGCAAGUAAGCUGGACAGUUCAUUUGGUUCUUAAGAACAAAGAUGGUGCUUAUCUGUCAACAAACUACUUAAGACAGUGGAAGACAUGCAGUGUUGACUCGGAAGGAGAGGUUCAAGGCUUGUGGCUCCCUGACAUUGGGGAGACUAUUAGCUCUUGUCCCUUGUGAAUCCUGGUAUCCAGAAGACCCACCUCUGAUCCAGACUGAGGUCAGAGUCCACCAAAUCAGAAAGACUCAGCAAAGUGAUAUCUUAAGUAGCACAAAUGGGACUAAGGAAAGGAAGAAGUUCUCUUUUGCCUCAGAACCACUGAAAGAGGAGUUAUCAAAGUUGUAGUGGCUGCUCACUGACCCACUGAGAUAAAAAUGGAUCAAGUCACCUGAUAGGAAGAUGUAUGCUCACCAAAUCCAAGUUAAAAAGAAGUCAUCACCAAUGAAGAUAUGCAGAAGAUCUUGUUUAUAGAAGAUACUAUGUUGAUUGCAUUGAGCCCCAGAACACUGCCUUCUUAAUUAAAUUUACCAUUACUCAAAAGUGGUCAGGCUCAUUACCCAUAUUGGAAAAAAGAAAUGGAUUGAAGAAUGCAUAUUUCUCAGAUUAUGAUAUGCAGCUUUAUGGACAGAACAGUGAUCAAAUCCCUUAGAAUAUAGUCUAUGGACAGGUAUUUCAUAUGGUUAGUGUCCUGGGACCAGAGCUAAACAUGAGGACAUAAAUGAAUAGUGGAUGACCCCAUGCUUCUCACUGCCAUAAAGGCCCCAUUGACUAUAAAGCCAAAUUUUUUUUGGUGAUGUUAUAUCACAGUGU